UUGGUAAAGCACAAGGCUCUUAACCUUGUGGACGUGGAUUCAAGUCCCAUGAUGGGGG
rnacentral:tRNA from 1 species